GCAGUAGCCGCGGGAACACGUAGGUGGCAAGCGUUGUCCGGAAUUAUUGGGCGUAAAGCGCGCGCAGGCGGAUAGGUCAGUCUGUCUUAAAAGUUCGGGGCUUAACCCCGUGAUGGGAUGGAAACUGCCAAUCUAGAGUAUCGGAGAGGAAAGUGGAAUUCCUAGUGUAGCGGUGAAAUGCGUAGAUAUUAGGAAGAACACCAGUGGCGAAGGCGACUUUCUGGACGAAAACUGACGCUGAGGCGCGAAAGCCAGGGGAGCGAACGGGAUUAGAUACCCGCGUAGUCCCUGUCUCUUAUACA
rnacentral:rRNA from 1 species